rnacentral:rRNA from 1 species
UGUAAGCGUAUACCAAAGUUGUUGCAGUUAAAACGCUCGUAGUCGGACUUUGGCAGUUCCGGAUGUGUGCACGUCGUGUGCGCACUUCGCGGGGAUUGCUUUUGUGGUCUUGCGUAGGAUGAGGCACUUUUAUUAGUGAACGUCCUCACGCAACCACUUUUUACUGUGAGAAAAUCAGAGUGCUCAAAGCAGGCAUUUGCCGUGAAUGUAUUAGCAUGGAAUAAUAGAAUAGGACUUGGUUCUAUUUUGUUGGUUUGUUGGGACUGAGUAAUGAUUAAGAGGGACAGUUGGGGGCAUUUGUAUUUCAGUGCUAGAGGUGAAAUUCUUAGAUUACCGAAAGACAAACUGCUGCGAAAGCGUCUGCCAAGGAUGUUUUCAUUGA